GAUUUUCUUUCUCUCCCUCAAUUGAUCAUUCCAUUUAAGUGUUUAGAAUUUGAAGAUAAUGUUCAGUAAAAUUGUCAAUCUCAAAAAAAUAUAUUUUCUACAAGUUUCAGCUUAUUUUCAUAAGACUCAAGAUUUGAGAUAAGACAACCUUUAUAGAACUCAUCUCAAGGUAAUUAAAGCAUGUCUUGCAAUAUAAGGAGGUUCAUCAAAAUCAAUCCAGAAAAUUCAAGGUAUGCAUUAAAGUAUCUUUAGGAUAAGAUACUGAAUAUCUAAAGCUCUCCCUCAAAAGAUGCAUUCUUCUUU
rnacentral:lncRNA from 1 species